UGGGGAAUAUUGGGCAAUGGGCGCAAGCCUGACCCAGCAACGCCGCGUGAAGGAAGAAGGCUUUCGGGUUGUAAACUUCUUUUGUCAGUGAAGAAGCAAGUGACGGUAGCUAAGGAAUAAGCAUCGGCUAACUACGUGCCAGCAGCCGCGGUAAUACGUAGGAUGCGAGCGUUAUCCGGAAUUACUGGGUGUAAAGGGAGCGCAGGCGGGACUGCAAGUUGGAUGUGAAAUACCGCAGCUUAACUGCGGAGCUGCAUCCAAAACUGUAGUUCUUGAGUGGAGUAGAGGCAAGCGGAAUUCCGAGUGUAGCGGUGAAAUGCGUAGAUAUUCGGAGGAACACCAGUGGCGAAGGCGGCUUGCUGGGCUCUAACUGACGCUGAGGCUCGAAAGUGUGGGGAGCAAACAGGAUUAGAUACC
rnacentral:rRNA from 1 species